rnacentral:rRNA from 1 species
UACGAAGGAUUCGAGCGUUAUCCGGAUUUAUUGGGUUAAAGGGUGUCGUAGGUGGAUUAAUAAGUCAGUGGUGAAAGCCCGCAGCUUAACUGCGGAACUGCCAUUGAUACUGUUAGUCUUGAGUACAGUUGAGGUGGGCGGAAUGUGUCAUGUAGCGGUGAAAUGCUUAGAUAUGACACAGAGCACCGAUUGCGAAGGCAGCUCACUAAGCUGUAACUGACACUGAGGCACGAAAAGUGUGGGUAGCAAACAGG